CUAGAUUCUAGUAGAUUGGCAAAUUCCAAGUCUAAUAGUAGCGUCUUUUGUCAAUGCAAGUGCUUGCUAGAGGUGGAAAUAAAGGCAGCAUGCCUUUCUAGAGCCUUGCGCCUCGAACAAGGUGCCCGUCUAGGUGCAUAAGGCGAACGCUUGUUAAAGGUCACCUGCCUUUCUCCUAUAGAAGCGUUAGGGUUGGAGCCUUGUGAGCCUUGGGAAUAAGGCGUGCCUUCAAUAACAAUUAUACAACCAGAAGCUAAUCAAGUUAAAUAUCACAAGUAAGAAACUCAGAUAGUGAUACAAAUGGGAGGUUUUAUUAUUUCUUAC
rnacentral:misc_RNA from 1 species